UGUCGGGAAGGUUCUGGAGUUUCAUACUCACUUGCUGGUGGCCCGAGGGCUCGGCAGAGCCGUGCAUUCAGGGUCAUCAGCGCCUGCUUCCCGGAGGACAGACAGAGAUUUGCAAGAUUCCAGGAAUUAGUUCUCCCCCUGGGGACCCGGUGGGCCCUCCAAGCCCAGAGAUUCUGCAGCGUCUGCGGCUACAACUCACUGCCCGGACUGUUAUUUUGCUUUGCAGGUAGGAAAGGCAAGAUUAAAAUACAAAGUGAUGCCUCCGGCUGUCUCUGGGUCGCCAGAGUUUGAGAGAAUAUUUCGUGCACAACAAAACUCUUUAGAGUUUUACCCAGUAUUCAUUAUUACAUUGUGGGUGGCUGGAUGGUAUUUCAACCAAGUUUUUGCCACUUGUCUGGGUCUGGUGUACAUCUAUGCCCGUCACCGGUAUUUUUGGGGAUAUUCAGAAGCUCCUAAAAAAAGGAUCACUGGUUUCCGGUUAAGUCUGGGGGUUUUGGCCUUGUUGGCCGUCCUAGGUGCUGUGGGGAUUACAAACAGCUUUCUGGAUGAAUAUCUGGACCUCAAUAUUGCCAAGAAACUGAGGCACUUCUAAAGUGGCCCUCUCCUUUCGCUCAAAUGCCUGCAGAAGAUGUUUCUACUCUGAAGACAUUACAUGUACAUCAGCACCUUAGUAAGAACAAAAACAAAACAAAACCACCUUAUUAAAAUCUACCUCUAUUUACUUGGUCCCAGUACUGAGCAUUUGGAGGAAGCUUCUAAAAGAUAAUGGAGCCCCCCUUCCCCCUCCCUCACCGCCUCCAGUUUUCCAUCGUUGCUUAGAGAUUUAUUUCUUGGACCUUUCAGAAAAAGGUAAUUAUAUAUUCUGUCUUCUCGUUGGUUUACUUCUGUUUUUGGUUAUCAUCCCUGGCCACUCAAGACAUUCCCUGGUGGGUCCCUCCCCACACAGGGAGUUCUCGGUCACCCUGCCACCACCUCUUCCCAGAGGGAACACAGCCCCGCCCGGUCCCUUGCUCUGAGUAGCCCUGUGACCUUGGCAUUGGGUGAGCAAGUCAAGGGCAGGGUUUGCCGGGCUGCCCCUGCCUCUACCUCCUCUGCCCCAGCUCUUCCUUCGAACCCCGCUCCCAGGACCUGCUCCCGGAGCUGCGCUGGGGCUCUGCAGCGCUGAGUUACACGUGAGUGUGCAGAGGGGAGCCUGCCUUUGGACACAGAGGGGAGGGGUGGCAGGAGAAAAACACUCGCUUCUCUCACUCAGGACAAUGGCUGUGCCACGUGGCCUGCAAACCUGGACAGCAGGAGGGGAGGCAAGGAGGGCUGAGACAAGCCUCACGGCAGUUGCCAGUCGGGGUGGGUGACCCCUCCCGACAGACUUCAGUGAGGUGCCAAGGUGAGCGAAUUACAAAGAGAACAACUCUACAGAACUUCACGAAAGGAUCAUUCUGCCACUGGGAAGGAACCAUCCCUUCCUCCUUCUUAUCAUCAAAAAGUGUGAAGCAGAGCAAUUGAAUUUUCAAUUCCUCAUCUUUCAGGGUUUGAGCUUUGUCUUUCUAGUGAGCAGGGAUGAAGGGCCAGGCCGAUUUUAGGGCCUCACUCCUGGGAGGUUUCCCAAGGGAGCCACAGCCGGCGCCAUCCAGACCAGUCCCUCCCUGGUUUCCCAGAGGCAUCACGUGCUCAUGUAAACCCACUGCUCAGGAGCAGGGCGGUCACUCAGUGCCAGGCAGAGAACUCCAGUGUCGCUUCCUGCAUAUCAGGCUUGUCUAGGUGCUUCUUGCUUUUAUUUUGCCUCUGCCCAGGCUCCCUGAAGACAAAAGCUUCAUUUCUUCUUGGAUAGUCUGCAAGGAGAAGCAGGGGCAGGCUGCGGUGGGGCAACAGGGGAGAGGCGGGGGUGCUGGCAGACACAGUGUCCAGCUGGGGCCUCCCCAGCCUGUGGCCUCCCAGCCUGUGGCCUCCAGGAGUCGAUGAGAACUGCUGAGAUGUAUCUGGUUGUACCAGGCCCCCAGGAGGCUCCAGCCCAGCUCCCUGCAGCGACGGCCACCAUGGUCACCAGCAGAGGGCUGCCUGCCCAGGACUGCAGGACCUUUCUCCAAGCUCCCUUGGUGAUCCUUGUGAGGCAACGUCUCCAACAUUCCUGAGAGUCAUCAUGGGGGGGAGACAGGCCUGUGGAGCCUGUGUCUUCUGGCGACACCUCUCUGGUCUUCUCGCCUGCCCUCCAAAUCCAGUGGCAUGUCUUGAAGGCCAGCCUUUUCUUGCAGUCAGAGUUCAGUGCGUGCAGCCGCCUCAGGGGGGCCUCUCCUCCACCCCCGGCUCGCUCGCCUCUGUGUCUCCAGCGCUGUGACCCCUGGACCAGGGCCAGGAGGGGCUGUCAGCCACCGCACGUCAGGCAGCAGUCUGUCUUGGCUGGAGCGGCUCUGCUAGGCUAGGCGAUCGCAGGCAGGGCCAAGCAGAGGGGCCGUGGACUCAUCUCUCCACUUGCCUCCUGUGCGGCUCCCUCUCUUGCAGCGGGAUUGGCAAGGUGUCUGUCUUGAUUGCUGGGUGGAACAAAGCCCAGCAGGGCUGGGGAUUGGUACCUGGACCUUCCACUGUCAGCCGGCUGCAGUUCUGCUCAGUUUACAUGGGUCAAAAAAACAAACAAAAAAAACAAGGAUGAGUCCACAUCCUGUUUCUUUUUCAAGGUGGAAGCUUUAACCACUAGGGUUUUGGCUCUCAGGGUCCCUCUUGACUAGGGGUUUCCAAACAGUUCAUCGAGCUCCUGCAUCCACUCAUCCCCUGGCCCGCCUUUGAUGAUGGAGUCCAUGAGAUCGGCACUGUCCGAGAGGCCUGGGAAGGAAGGCCCAGGGGCAUCGCUGCUGUAAUUGUAUGACAUGUCCUGAGGGGGGUUUCGCUCGUAGGCUUGGCUCUGGCUGCUCGGAGCAAAGCUGCCCCCGGGCAUGGGCUGCUGUGCCGGGGGCUGGCUGAAUGCUGGCAUGCCAGCGACGCCCUGGCUUAGGCCAGACAUGACCAUCGGCCUGGCCUGGCCCGUGCCUUGCUGCCCCGGGAGCGGUGGCAUCAGCUGCCGGCCCAUGGCAGCUGGGUUGAGAGUCCUCACGGUGCCAGUGUUAGCAUCCACCACCUGGCUCAGUCCCUGGGGGAAGUGCUGCUUGGUCAGCCUCGGCUGGCCAGCUUGUAACGGGUAGCUGGUGCCGUUGUUGAAGGAUGUUAAUUCUCCACUAGUCCUCCCGGGCAUUGCCUGUAAGCUCCUCUGUUGCCAGCUCUGUGUCCCCUGCUGGACUGUUCCCAUAAUACUCUGCAGCCUUGGUGGGGCCUGGGGCCUGGGCAAGGUCUGGCCUACAGGCCCCUUCAUCUGCUGGUGCUGUGGGGUAAUGGCAGAGUUCACCAGCAUGCUCUGACCAAAACCACUCACCAUCCCGACCCCUGGCCCUGAGGUGGGCUGCCUCGGCCCCUGGGCUUGGUUGUGGGUGAUACUCAUGCCACUUUGGUUUGGGUGCUGCAACAUCUGGGUCAUUCCUGUGCUCAUAUUGUACAUUCCGGGUUGGCUGGUAGGUGUGGUGCUGUAAGGGGCCAGUCCCAUCUCCGACUGGGCUGCUGCUGUGGCCAUUGUCCCUGGGUUCUGGGAGGGUCCCAUUCCCAUCAUGCCUGCAUUCUGUGCCAUCAACCGUGACGUUCGCAUGCUCUGGAGGGCUGCCUGGCUUCUCACGGCUGCUAUAUCCUGGGGAGACCCUGCAGGGAAAAAGGACACACCAGUUCACUCAUUUCCAUAAGCAAUGUGACAAGCUGGACUUUUCUUUACAAAUGACAAAUUCCUUUUGUACGAAAGGAUCUACUUUGAUAAUCUUUUAAAAGACUGAUCGGUAUUUUGCUGACUAUAACAUGCUGAUUGUGAAAAAUUUGGAAAAGAGAAGCACAAAGAUGAAAAUUAAAGUCACCUGAAUUCCCACCAUCCAGAAGUGACCACUAUAAACUUACUUAAUAUAUGAAUAGACACAUGAAAAUUAGGAUGAUACACCACACACGCCUUUGUAGUUGACUUUUUCUAUUUGAUAUAGCCUGAUAUUUUUGUUUGCAUUUCAGAAGCAAAUUGAGUGUUCUUGAUAUGAUGCCUUCCUCAACUAGUAAGAUGUCUUUUUUUUUUUUUUUGGAGGCAAGAGGAAAUUCACCUCUUGGGCUAAAUUAGGAAGAAACAGCUGAUCACUUUGCAUGUACCAUUUGUGAAGUGGAACAUGGUUCAGUAGAGAAUACUCUCAAUAAAGACCAUUAGACUAAUUUCCCUUAAGACUUGAGCAGGAUUUGAGAGGUGAAAGGCCACUGCUUCUGCAAGAAGUUAUUUUGACAGAUGGGACAAUUUGUGGAUCCACUCUGUAGCUUUCCCACAUGUUCCAGAUUCUCUGAAUCAUAACAUGUCAGUGUGAACUGGCCACCUUCCUGAGCUAGAAAAAGAGAUCAUCCUGCUACUUGCUACUUGGCAGUGGAUUUUAUGCAUUUCUCCAGCAAAGUCCACUCCUUCAAAUCAGCAAGGACCACUAAAGCAAUUUUAAUGAUGUUGCUUAAAAGUUGGCCAGAGUAUCAAUGCCAAGUCACUCAACUCUAAUUAGACCUUUGAAUGAAUCCUUCUUUACAUGUUUCCAGGAAAUCUCUAAACCAGCAAAGAGAAUAGAAAUGUCACCCUCAGAAGCCCAACAUUGUCAAGGGCUAGGAGGUGCACAAAAAUGGAUUUUUUGGUGUGUCUACUAAUGAUUAAGUCUAUGAAAGAAAAAGUUUUUUUUUUUUGGUUUGUUUUUGGGCUGGACAUUUUUAAAAGGUGCAGCAUGGGAGCCAAUCAAUAUUACAAGCAAAUUUGAUCCUACCUAGAACUGGGAUGAGAAACCAAAUGAGAAUAGUACAACCUUGUUAAGCCUGGCACCUUGGCAGAUAACUGAAGUGUGUUUUUGUCUUCCUGAUGGGGAUAUUGAUUUCUGAGCAGCAAAUACGGCUCCAUAGUUUCUUUCUUAAGAAAGAAAAUUAUGGGUAUCUUGAUUAUGAUUUAAGUUUUUGUGGCUUGAGAUCAAUAUCACCUCGCAUUGAAAAAAUGAAAUGCUUAUUGUGGGGAAACCAGAAAGAUCUGAAAGAGAUCCCUAGAAAUGUUCAAUUUUUUUGGUUUUGAGUUUAAUUAUAUCUCAGUGGAUAUUAAAAAAAAAUCAAAAGUUCCUGAUUAAACACUGGACAG